rnacentral:rRNA from 1 species
UACGUAGGGGGCAAGCGUUGUCCGGACUUACUGGGCGUAAAGAGCGCGCAGGCGGUCGAUUUAGUCGCGUGUGAAAGCCCCCGGCUCAACUGGGGAGGGUCACGCGAUACUGAUCGACUCGAAGGCAGGAGAGGGUAGUGGAAUUCCCGGUGUAGUGGUGAAAUGCGUAGAUAUCGGGAGGAACACCAGUGGCGAAGGCGGCGACCUGGGUCGAUACUGACGCUGAGGUGCGAAAGCGUGGGGAGCAAACAGG